rnacentral:rRNA from 1 species
UACAGAGGUCCCAAGCGUUGUUCGGAUUCACUGGGCGUAAAGGGUGCGUAGGUGGUCGGGUAAGUCUGAUGUGAAAUCUCUGGGCUCAACCCAGAAAUGGCAUUGGAUACUAUUCGGUCUAGAGGAGUGGAGGGGGGACUGGAAUACUUGGUGUAGCAGUGAAAUGCGUAGAUAUCAAGUGGAACACCAGUGGCGAAGGCGAGUCCCUGGACACUUCCUGACACUGAGGCACGAAAGCUAGGGGAGCAAACAGG